rnacentral:rRNA from 1 species
GCCUAACACAUGCAAGUCGAACGGCAGCACAGGAGAGCUUGCUCUCUGGGUGGCGAGUGGGGGACGGGUGGGGAAUACAUCGGAAUCUACUCGGGCGUGGGGGAUAACGUAGGGAAGCUUACGCUAAUACCGCCCACCACCUACGGGUGAGAGCUGGGGACCUUCUGGCCUUGCGCAAUUGAAUGAGCCGAUUUCGGAUUAUCUAGUUGGCGGGGUAAAGGCCCACCACGGCCACUAUCCGUACCUGGACUAAGAGGAUGAUCACCCACACUGAAACUGAGACCCGACCCCUACUCCUACGGGAGGCGGCAAUGGGGAAAAUUGGACAAUGGGCCCAAGCCUGACCCGCCCAUACCGCGAGGAUGAACAAGGCCUUCGGGUUGUAAAUCCCUUUUGUUGAGAAAAAAUUCCAUCUGGCUAAUACCCGGUGGGGAUGACGGUACCAAAAAAAUACGCCCCGGUUAAUUCCAUGCCCCCAGCCACGACAAAACGAAGGGUGCAAGCUUUACUCUAAAUUACUGGGCGUAAAGCGAGCGUAGGUGUUCAUUUAAAUCCGUUGUCACCGCCCUGGGCUCAACCUGGGAAUUGCAUUGGAUACUGGUCGACUAGAGUGUGGUAUAGGGUAACUCAAUUCCUGGUGUAG